UAUUUUAUUAAUCGCUUUUUAUCGAUCGGCUGUAAACUUUACGAUCAUUAUCCGCUAAACUACUAUUAAAACUUUUUUAUUUAGGACACAUUUCAUUAUUCCUUUUUUAUCCCCCGAUAUAAUCGAAUGAAUCGAUCAAAGGCAGUGCGACGUAACAACGAUCGAAACGAAUCCUUUUGUUACUUCCUUAACGUUUCCUUAACCACAAUAAAAUAACUUCUUCGUCGCGUUGUACAAUAUAUUCUCGGUCAUUUAAGUGGAAUUCUUUCCGAAACGAAAGGAAAUUCAAGUCCUAUGGUACUACGACAAAGACUAGAAAAGUAUAACGGAGAGUCUCGAAAUCGAGCGAAAUCUCGAAGGAUCGAGGUAAAAGUACAAUUUCAUAAACCUACGUUCCAAACGACAUUUCCACGAGCUCUCUUUCUCUUUAUCCUUUCUUCUUACCUUUCCUAGCGAGGUAAAAGUUUCCGAGGAACGAUUGUAAAAUCGUAACUUCCUUCUCUCGUCAUUAAGCUUCGUAGAUUCUACCAAAGACGACGGUGACCUUCCGAGUAGCCCCUCGGAAAAUCUCUCUCUCUCGCUGCCCACUCAUCGAUCCUUUGGAGAAAUUAGGCCAACAACCGGUGACGUAAUCCCAUAGCUCUACGUUAUUUCUCGCUUUGGACUAAUUAUUCGUUCGAAAAGACUUUUCGUCUUUUCAAGUCUCUCGAAUCCUCACCCGCUUCCAUCACCUUUCGUCCGUCACCUUUCUCUCCUUCGAUUAUGAACUUUCCGAAUUAUAAACGUUCCUUCGUCUCCUCCGUCAUUCCGUGUUCCGACACGUCACGUGCGUGAAAUUGUUAGUCCUGCCAAUCUGCUUUGGAUAUUUUCAUCGUCGACAAAGGACUAAAAAGAGUAAAGAAAGAAGUAGAGAGAGAGAGAGAGAGAGAGAGAGAGAGAGAGAGAGAGAGAGAGAGAGAGGAUGGUCCUAGCUCCUGAGAGACGGACCUGAAUUCCCGUCACGGAAACGAGGUCGACGUAUUCCCGACACGGAAGCCAAAGGUAACGAUGUCUUUGCGGAGAAUGGGUAUCGACGUGAUAUCACACGUGAUUCCACGUAUAUUCCGUGCGCUAGGGUUCUUCGCAUCUCCUACCAUUUCUUCUUCAUAACCGUAAAAAGUUGGAAAGUAUCGAUCGUUGCGAUGUAUUGACCAUUGAGCGAUCGAAGAUGCCAGUUCUACUCUCGUUCUUAAUAAAAAGGACACGUUUCACUUUGCUCGCGUGAACGAGCAAAUUAUUCUCCGUCCGUAUCGGGCCAACACUCCGAAUUAUGCAAAUAAUAAUCGGGAAGGUAGAUAGGUAGGUAGGUAGGAAGGAAGGUGGGUAAGUAGUUAGGUAGGCUACGGGUUGGAAUGAAGGAGUACGCGGUAAUGGCUCGUAAGUAGCGAAAUAACGGCUUCCUCUAUCUGGAUUGUCAAAAGUUACAGGCCGCCUACGUUCGCGAAGGCGCGCUUUCACGAGACACGACUUACAUCGGUAAUGAGCGCCGACUUAACGCGAAGAAACGGUCAAAUUGUUCGAUACUUCCCAUUUCUGCUUCUUUUCCAGAUCACAUUCUCCCUGGAUAAUGAUCGUAUUUUUCAUACGAAACGUUAACCGUUUCGAUUUCAAACUAUGUGAAUCUUUCAAAUCGUUUCAUCGUGACCGAUUUCUUUACUCUAGUGAAGAAAUCAUCUCCUAUCUGUUUCCCGAAUUAUUUUCAUUCGAUAAAAUCGCAAAAAGAACGUUCGAUAUACUCGUUUCCAUGGAAACCUUCGCGAACAUCUUUUUUACAGAAUUUUUCAGCGGAUUCGCAUUUCAACGACAACCCCCUUUAAAAAUUGAUCACAUUUAUUGCCACUUUUUCCGCGCAUGUUUUUCAAAGAUGGCCAUGCGAAGUUAGACGAUGGAAGACGCCUUGUAAAAAAAACAACGUAUCAAUCCGUAGGAUAACAAUAGGUCAAAGGUCGAAAUUAUUUUCGUAAAGGAAAGGAGAGAGCAGCCCUCGCGAGGGUUGUGCUCACGGCGCAGUGCGUCAAAGGUACGGCAAAGAUGAUUGCGAGUUUGCGUUGACGUUCUUCUAUCACCUCCCUAUUUGCUAUAUAUUUUUUCUUACAGUCUAUAGUCGUUAAAAAGCCUCCUUCGUAUAGGAAUCAUCUUAAGGGCUUUCCAAACUCUUUCACCCUUGUGAUCUUUCUACCCUCGAAACAUAAAUUCCAAAGUGAUCGAGAGAUUUCGAGGAACGUUCGAGGAAUCGUCGAACGUUGUAAGCCCUCGAAAGUCGUUUCGGUGCCGGAGUGAUACAUCGUGCGAAAAAGUUGGAACACAGAGGAAAGAAAGGGGAGAGAGAGAGAGUGAGUCGAUCGAAGGGUUCAUCAUCGGGCUGGAAUCAUGGUCCGUUCGUGGACAGGAACAAGUCGAUCACGGAGGAUAGCCCCUCGUACACACACCGUCUCGGAGGACGCACACGUAUAAUCCACACGGGCGCGCGCGAGGGAACACGCAAAAUAUACUUUUAAGCGGCCACACGCAUAUUGUACAAGUGAAAGAACGUUGUACCUGGCUCACGGAUUAAGUCGGUAAACCUUCUGAUUAAAGUAACAUACAUACAUAUACGACGAUGCCUAUGGGUAUCUUUCUCUUCGUCUCUUCGUUUGUGUGUGAAAAUACGUGUAUGUUUGUGUAUUGUUAACGAGCGUGCUCGAACACGGCCGUUCCUCUUGGUUACCCUUCUAAUCUCCCUCGUUCUUUAACGGUCUUCCUCUCUCAAACCCAAGAUUCCAAGUAGAUUGAUCUUUCUCGACGCCUAGUGCCUUCGAUCGCGAGUCAGGAAGCAAGUGACAAGGAAGGAAGGAAGGAAGGAAUAAGAAAAUGAAAAUAAAGUAGGAAGAAUCUCUCUUCAAGCGACGUCUACUUGGACUUCUUUCCUUAUCGCUUAUUUAUUUUCUCUCUCGCUUUCUCUUUCUCCCUCUUUAGAAAUGGUCAAAUCUAGAAAUACAACUCGUAACUCGAAAAAAUAAGAAAAAGUGUGCGAUAAGCUUUCUCUUCUCUUAUUUUCUAGAGCUAUGAUACUUAUUGUUAGUUGAACGUCGAGCUAACGUGUAACCACUACCAAUGCCGGCGUUAACGGGGAGUAGCAAGAUGAGGUGGUAAAAAAGAAAAAAGAAAAAAAAAAGAAAAGAAGAGAAAAAAGGAAAAGACAGGAAAAAAACGAAUGUUCUACGUCGUCACGCUUCGAUCGUCCAUGACGUCCUUCCCGCUAUGUCCCUCCGCAAACUCCGGUAAACCCUGUCGGCCCAUUUCACGGUUCUUUGCUCGCGAGAUUCACGGUGAUUAGGGUGCGAACGUGCGGUCAAAUGUAAAAAAAAUAAAAAAAAAAAAAAAAGAACAUGCUGCCUCCUCAUUGAAAAGACGUACGAAAAGUGACGUGGAAUGGAGAAAGAAAAAAAAGAGAUCCGAGAUCCUCGACGACUUUACGAUUGUUUCACGACUGGAGAAGAAAUAAUUGAAAUUGUUGAAUGAAAAAUUGCACUUUUAUGAAAAAAUAAAAAUAUAAUAUUAUUCUUUCUAGAUAGCACUAGUUUAUUAAAAAAUGAGAGAGAGAGAGAGAAAGAGAGAGUACAAAAACGGACGAGAAAGGAUCGGAUUCGUCGAGGAGGAAAAAAAAAAGAAAGUCGGUAUAUACAUAGCAUACAUAUACAUAAAGGUUAAGGCUAAUUCUAAGGCGAUCGUGAAGAGGCUUUUUCCUCUAGGUCCUUUUUCUCGCAUCUCAGCCUCGCUUCCCGAUUAAAAGUCUAUAAUCUCUUUCGUCUAACUCCUCCCACGUCUCGAGCCUCUCCACACAAGAGCGCACUCGAGUCUAACGAAAAAUCCCUCGGAGCACACGCUCGGAUAAACAGCCGAUACGCGCACGCGCCCUAUUCCUCUCUCUGGGUGUCUUGAGUGCGUGUGUGUUUACAUGUGUACCAUUUGUAUGGACGAUAUAUUAUAUAUAUAUAUGUGUGUAUAUAUAUAUAUAUAUGUAUAUAUAUAUAUAUAUAUAUAUACAUGCUUGGACUUGUCGGAAGUAUGUAUAUAUAUAAAUAUAUAAAUUCUUUUAUCACCUAUUUAUUUACUCUUGCAAUACACAAUUCUCGCGAAAAACUUACACAAUUGCCAUUCAUUAUCCUUUCUCUCCACUCUCGUACAGCAAGACACAAGCAUUUCUUUCUCUCCAAAAAAAUAACAGAUAAAUAUACAUAUAUAUAUAUAUAUAUAUAUAUAUAUAUACACACCAUAUAAAUAUAUAUAUAUAUAUGUAUAUAUAUACAUAUCGUAUAAAUAUAUAUAUAUAUAUAUAUAUGUAUAUAUACUAUAUACUAUAUUUAUAUAUUCAUAUAUGCAUAUAUAAAUAUAAUUUUGUACACGAUGUUCCCGAGGAUCGCGACGAACUUGCGAACGACAGUCAAAAAUUCCUUCAAUCGAGGACAAACGACGACAAGAUUCUUGGACGAAAUUCCUUAUUUGUACGUAUGCAGUUUUGUUCUAAUCAAUUCUUUUAUUCUACGAUCAUUAUACCGACGUUUAAAAAGCAUAGAGUUCGAUCGCGAAGAUCGGGAACAGUCUGUCCAUAAUCAGUGCUUAUAUUUAUGCCAAGACACGAACGGGAAGAGCAUUAAUAUCGCGAUGUUUUAAUGUUAUUAAUAAAUUCCGCUAACUUACUCGUUCAUCCCAUCACGAUCGAUCUCUCUUUUCUUUUUUUAUUUUCUUCAGGAACCUUCAUUGGCCUUAAUCACUUUGUUCUAUUCCUUAACGAUACGAUUUCUCAUUUUUGACGAUCGCGAGUACAGAAAAGAAAAUUUUUCGCGAAUAGUCAAGAUCAUCGAAGUAUAUUGAUUCUUUUUUUCUUUUAUUUUUCAUUCGAAAGAAAGAAAAAAGAAAGAAAGAGAAAGAGAGAGAGAGAGAGAGAGAGAGAGAGAGAGAGAGAGAGAGAGAGAGAGAGAGAGAGAGAGAGAGAGAGAGAGAGAGAGUGAAAGAGAGCGAUAGAGAGAGACGUUUGGGAGCGGCAGCAGCAAACAUCAUAUCGUUUCCUAUAUUUGUAAUAAGCGUAUUUCGAAAAUUCGGCCACGUAGAGCAUUACAUAGUUUUUUAUUCGUUCGAUAACGAUGCUUGCUGCAAUUUUGAUUCUCGUCAUAAGUAGACGAUAAGGACAACGCAGACCGCCACACCGUCUCAUAAUUUUACGUUUCCGAUAACGAACGCAAACCGUGGCCCGAUGGUACGCGUCGUGAACGGAUACGCUCGGAAGAAAGGAUAUAUAUAUAUAUAUAUAUAUAUAUAUACACGUAUAUAUAUAUAUGUGUAUAUAUAUAUAUACCGUGAUCGUGAUAUAUCGGAUGAUAUUGUCAUGAAAGUGUUUCAUAUUCUUUACACAUAUGUACGUAGGUACAACAAUAAUUGAAACCCCGACUUUUGUUGGAGCACGAAACGUAGAGCCGUGUGUAUUAGCGAUUUGUUUUUUUACUACUGCUACUAUGUAAAAAUGCGAUAAAAUGCAUUGCUCGUUUUCUUUUUUAAUAGGCUUCCUCUAUCUAAUAUUGAAAAAUAUCGCUGCAAAGAAAAAAAAAGACAAGAAAGUUGAAAUGUAAUAAACGCGUGUAGGCUCGAUAUUCCUUCGCUCUGAUCGUCGGGGUAUUAAGAAAUCUUGCCGUCAAACUUUAAUAUCGUCGUCCAUUCGAUUCUCGUUCAUGUUUUCCUCAUUGACAGGCUAUCAAAACAGACAGGUUCUUGACGAUCGUGUAUAGCAUUUUACACGGUAGAAGCGUAUGCAUACACGUAUCGAUAUCUCUUACCAAUUAAUUUAUACUUAUUUCUUAUCGUUCGAUAAUAGAAUACGACUAAACAACAGUUCGGUCACAAAUCUAGGCGAUAAAGAUUUUAUGAAAUUACGAAGAAUAAAUUUCUAUCGAUCUCGAGGGAGGAAGGAUAUUGUUACGAUAGCUAUAGGCGUUUGCGAAACUUUAAGUAUAACAACCUGAUCUUUCGAAAUGCAAUGGGAAGACUAGCCGAAACGAAACAAAACAACCUGUAAGUGUUCACCUUUUGUCAGAAAUAUACGAUGUGAACGAUAAAGAUUUUUGUCUGUCUUUGUCUUCGCGUGCGUGUAUGUGUGUGUGUGUGUACGUUUUAUGUAAAUUCUUUCCAAGAGAUACAAUACUAUGUACAUUGAAAAAUCAACAAUAACAUUGCAACUAUUCGCACAAAAGACGGUUUAUAUUAUAUUCCUUCGACCGAAUCGAGAUCCACUAUACGAUUGCAACGAAUUAUGACUUCGGUUUCGCUCGAAACAUAACGAAUUGCAUUUUGCCGAGUGCUAUAGCACGAUGUCAUGGCUUGUAGAAUAAAACACAACGUAAAACGUUUAAACACAACUCAACAUUCCAUAAUCUUUAACAUUACAUCGCGAUAACUCGACUAUAUCUCCUCCUCUCUUUUAUAUUUCUAAAACUCACCGUGCGUGAAAAGUAAGGGAUUAGAAGAAGCGCGUAUUAAAAAAGAAAAGAAAGGAAGGUAAAGAAAAAGAAAGAUAAGAAAAGGAAAAUAAAAAAAAUAGGAAAAGGAAGAAAGGAUAAAACGAUCGGUCGUAUAAAACUCUCGGUUCGAUAACCAGAUGUUAAAAAAAGAAAAAAGAAAGAAAAAAGAUAAUAAUAAUAAAAUAAAAAUAAAAAGAAAAAAAAAAAAAAGAAAAAAAAAUGAAGAGAA